UACGUAGGGGGCUAGCGUUGUCCGGAAUCAUUGGGCGUAAAGGGCUCGUAGGCGGUCCGUCACGUCGGGAGUGAAAUCCUGGGGCUUAACCCCAGAACUGCUUCCGAUACGGAGCAGACUAGAGGUAGGUAGGGGAGAAUGGAAUUCCUGGUGUAGCGGUGGAAUGCGCAGAUAUCAGGAGGAACACCAGUGGCGAAGGCGGUUCUCUGGGCCUUACCUGACGCUGAGGAGCGAAAGCGUGGGGAGCAAACAGG
rnacentral:rRNA from 1 species